UUGGAUCGCCUGGAGUUGGCCCCGCUGCGGCAGCAGCUGGAGGAGCGCUGGAGGAGCAUCCUGAAGCAGCUCAAGGAGAAAACGCCGCGGGUGGAGGCUGACGAUGCUGCUGGGAUUCGGAAGUGGGUGCACUGGGGACAGCUGGGGGCAAUGCUCUCUCCAUUUGGAGAUGGAAUUUGUGCCUUUUCUGCCUGUUUUUUUUUUCCUGCACACAGUCCUAUGUGCCUCCUUGCUGCACCGAGGAGCCAGGGGCAGGGAUUUAACACAGGAUCAUGACACGAGGCCCUUACAUUUGCCACGCUUGCUGUCAGACAGACCCCACAGCACAGACAGGGUUUCCAUUACCCCUCUGCUGGUUUCCUUGGGAUUCAGGUGGCAGAACUUGGCCCAAGCUCCUAGAGACGGGAGAGAUGCAUGGAAUACAUGGACCCACGGGACUUGUGGCACCCCGAGUGCCCCCCUUUUGCAGCCACAUUCCCAGGCAGGACCCCACGAGUCCAUCCCUUCUGCAGCACCCGAUGCUGCCACCGACCCCUGAUCUCCCUGCAGGCAGCUGCUGGCCCAUUUCCACUGCGUGUCCUGCGACCGACCCCUGCACAUGCUGGUGCCUGGACCGCACAUUGUGACCAUUCCACCACUGCCACCGCUGCCUUCCCGCGUCGCCGUGCGUCCCCGUGCCACCUGCCAGCCGGAGCAAGGCCACAGGGAGCAGGGGGCCCAGUGUGGGUUCCUGCAGGUGCCGCGGCGCUGCGGGGGGCAGCACACCAUCACCCACCCACUGCAGCGCUGCCCACGACCCCCACACUUCCCACCCUACGGCCCCACACCGCCACAGCCCCAUGGCAGCAUCACCAAGGAGCACGGCGAGAUGGAGCUGCUGGGCCAGGAUGGGCACAUCUACAAAGGCCGGUGGGAAGCUCAGCUGCCUGCCCUCGCAGGGAAGGAGGGUACAGCUGGGGUGUGGGGUAAUCCUGCUGACCCUAAAGCUGCAAUGGAAGGACCCCAACCGCUCUCAUAUUCUCCCUCUCUGGUUUCUCCAGGCACACCGAGGGAUAAGCCCAGGCUGUCCCCCAGGCACUGGGGUGCUCAGGACACCAACUUCCUGCCCGUGCGGCCCCAAAGUGCCCUGUCCCCACUCAGCCAGCCAGGGACCCCCAGGCUGCAGGAGCAGCGCCCAAUGUCAUCCCACGGCCGCCUGCCCCACCUCUGGCCACCACAGGGCAGAGAAGAAAGCCCCACAGCAGAGAGAAGAGGGGGAACCCCCUCUGAAACCCACCCAUGGGCACCGGGUGGACCCAUGGGCUGCAGCCAGUAGCAAUAAAGAGCAGUGGAUGAGAUGCAUCUGCAUAGUCAGGGUAGAGAUGGAGUUGGUUUUGCCUUCAGCAUCCCUCUUCUGUUUGUAUGGACACCUCGUCCUUCACUACCUCCAUCCUUCCAUCCAUCCAUCCAUCCGUCCGUCCAUCCAUUUAUCCAUCCAUCCAUCCAUCCAUUUAUCCAUCCGUCCAUCCAUUUAUCCAUCCAUCCAUCCAUCCAUCCAUCCAUCCAUCCAUCCAUCCAUCCAUCCAUCCAUCCAUCCAUCCACCCACCCCCACUCCUCGCUGCCCAUGCAGGUUAUGGGGCUGGCCCUCACACCCCUCCAAUUAGCACCCCUAAUGCGGAUGCAGGGGGACACAGGGCUGGGAUUUUCCCAUCUUACACUCAGAGCAGCAUCAUACACACGCAGCAUCCCUUAUCCUGAGCCCCAAAGGUGUGAAUACCCACACAGGGCAUCCCCCACCCCACCUGCUCCCAGUGCAGGAGCUGGGACUCCAUGUCCCUGGGACUCCUUGUCCCUGCCUCGCCACGUUGGAACCUGAAAGUCCAUUUACUUAAAUCACAUUUUACAAGGCUCUGAUUUACUGCUGCAGUGGAUUGCAGCUGCUCUGUGCUGGUCCAACCUCCCGGGACGUGUUUGUUUGAGGUUUGUUUCCCAUGGGGGAAGGGGAGUGACACUAUGAAGGCAGGAUGGUGCUGGGAGGGUGGGGGGAGGCACCAACAAAUGGGUCUGAGGUUCCACAGUGCAAAAAGAGGGGAAACUCAGAGCAAAGCCCAUCAGCAGGUUAAAGCUCAGCUGGGACACAAUGCUGAGCUCAGCCCCCCCCACCUGUGGGUGCUCAGCCCCUCCCACCCCAUCAGAACCCACCCACACUGCUGGUCCCAUAAGCACCAGCACCCCUUCAACCCAGUGCUGCUGUGCUCAGAGCAGGUAAGCAGAUCUGGAUGGACUUUGCUUUUCCUUUGUGGAGCAUCCCUGUCCCUACCUGUGUGUCCCCAGACCCGCUGCAUCCCACGUUUGGGGGGGUUUCACCCCAUUUUCUCAUUGCAUGCUGAGCUGGGGGCUGAAUUGGAAAGGAAUCCCAAGGUUGGGGCUGUGGUUGGAAGGGCGCCGGUGUUCCCCCAGCAAAGAGAAGAGGCAGGGACAGCUGCUGUUAAAAAAGUGAUUAUUAUUAUUUUUUUUUUAAUUCUUUUUAAAUUAAUAAAAAACCUUUGAGCUGUUUUCUGUUGUUUUCU
ensembl:lncRNA